GGCUCUUUGUUGAGCUUUUAUAAAGAGUCAAGCCUGCCCAGUGAAAAAUUUAACGGCCGCGGUACUCUGACCGUGCGAAGGUAGCAUAAUCAUUUGCCUUUCAAUUGAAGGCUAGUAUGAAAGGUCUGACGAAAGCUAAGCUGUCUUUUAUUAAAUAAAAUGAAAUUGACUUUUAGGUGCAAAGGCCUAUAUUUAACUAAAAGACAAGAAGACCCUAUUGAGCUUUAAAACUUAAAAAGAGUAAAGCAUAUUGUAGUAAGAUUUUAAUUCUUUUAAACUUUUUAGUUGGGGCGACUUUGGAACAAUAGCAGCUUCCUAAAAUUAAAAAUACUUUUAGGUUUUGAUCCAAAAUAUUUUGACUAAUAGAAUUAGUUACCAUAGGGAUAACAGCAUAAUUCUUCUUAAGAGUUCUAAUCGAAAGAAGGGAUUGUGACCUCGAUGUUGGACUAGAAUAUCCUAAAGGUGCAGAAGUUUUUGAAGGUUGGUCUGUUCGACCAUUAAAAUUCUACAUGAUCUGAGUUCAGACCGGCGUGAGCCAGGUCAGUUUCUAUCUUUAGUUUUUUUAGCAGUUUUAGUACGAAAGGAUCAGACUGAAGAAGUAUAAAACUUUUUUCUUUGAUAAUGUAUAAUAGAGAUUUAAAUCUUAUUUU
rnacentral:rRNA from 1 species